GUCAGUCCAGAUGACCAUUCAGUCAGCAAUUACCGCAUUCGGUGUGGGAUGCGCUGUCACCCUUCUCACUGCUGAUCUGGCACCGUGACUCCUCCCUCAGAGAAGUUCCUCUCUGUGUAAUGGAGAAGUUCUUAGUGUGGAUAUUGAGGCAGCUUUCCCUUCGCUUACUGGAGAACAAGCCUCCUAAGGAUGGCCUGUAUAUUGGUGACACUUCCAAGUGGAGUAUUGACAUCUCCGAGCAUCACCGCACUGGGGUCAAUCUGAGGUUGUGGAUAUAGAUGUCUGCAAUGUAUCUGAAUGUCUGCAGUGAAUAUGAACGGAUCAUAUUCAUUCGUUUCCCCCAAUUCCUCCCAGAUCCUCCACCAUCUUUCUUCCCAACCUAUCUCAUGCUUUCCCUCAUCCUCUACCUAUCAUGUCCAGCUUGUGAUAGCCUUUUCUGGUCAUGAGGCCUG